UGCCAGCCGCCGCGGUAAUACCGGCAGCCCGAGUGAUGGCCGAUCUUAUUGGGCCUAAAGCGUCCGUAGCUGGCUGCGCAAGUCCGUCGGGAAAUCCACUCGCCCAACGAGUGGGCGUCCGACGGAAACUGCACAGCUUGGGACCGGGAGGCCUGAGGGGUACGAUCGGGGUAGGAGUGAAAUCCUGUAAUCCUGGACGGACCGCCGGUGGCGAAAGCGCCUCGGGAAGACGGACCCGACAGUGAGGGACGAAAGCUGGGAUCUCGAACCGGAUUAGAAACCCGGGUAGUCC
rnacentral:rRNA from 1 species